UAAGGAAUAUUGGACAAUGCCCGCAAGGGUGAUCCAGCCAUGCCGCGUGCAGGAAGAAGGCCCUAUGGGUUGUAAACUGCUUUUAUACCGGAGAAAACCCCCGCUCGUGAGCGGGGCUGAUAGUAUGGUAGGAAUAAGCAUCGGCUAACUUCGUGCCAGCAGCCGCGGUAAGACGAAGGAUGCAAGCGUUAUCCGGAUUCAUUGGGUUUAAAGGGAGCGUAGGUGGUCUUGUAAGUCAGUGGUGAAAUCUGGCAGCUUAACUGUUAAAUUGCCAUUGAUACUGCAGGACUUGAGUACAGAUGCCGUUGGCGGAAUAUGACAUGUAGUGGUGAAAUACAUAGAGAUGUCAUAGAACACCGAUUGCGAAGGCAGCUGACGAAACUGUAACUGACACUGAGGCUCGAAAGUGUGGGGAUCAAACAGGAUUAGAUACCCGCGUAGUCC
rnacentral:rRNA from 1 species